rnacentral:rRNA from 1 species
GAUGAACGCUGGCGGCGUGCCUAAUACAUGCAAGUCGAGCGAACAGACGAGGAGCUUGCUCCUUUGGCGUUAGCGGCGGACGGGUGAGUAACACGUGGAUAACCUACCUAUAAGACUGGGAUAACUUCGGGAAACCGGAGCUAAUACCGGAUAACAUGUUGAACCGCAUGGUUCAACAGUGAAAGACGGCCUUGCUGUCACUUAUAGAUGGAUCCGCGCCGCAUUAGCUAGUUGGUAAGGUAACGGCUUACCAAGGCAACGAUGCGUAGCCGACCUGAGAGGGUGAUCGGCCACACUGGAACUGAGACACGGUCCAGACUCCUACGGGAGGCAGCAGUAGGGAAUCUUCCGCAAUGGGCGAAAGCCUGACGGAGCAACGCCGCGUGAGUGAAGAAGGUCUUCGGAUCGUAAAACUCUGUUAUUAGGGAAGAACAAAUGUGUAAGUAACUAUGCACGUCUUGACGGUACCUAAUCAGAAAGCCACGGCUAACUACGUG